CCGAUGCUCGCUAGGUGUCGCAAUAUCCGCCGAGCCUCCACGCGCCUCAUUCACAUUCAGUCUCUCUUCGCCUUCGCUACCGUGAACGUCUACCCGGCUCGCUAUCUAAAAAGUCGCUCGCCGAUCUUCAAAAACAUUAAAAAAAAGUAUAUAUGUAUAUUUAGUAAAGAAGAAAGUGUGUGUGAUUGUGAUAUUCCCGUCUGACCCAUGUGCCAACGAAUUUCCAUUGGGUCAAAUAUGCAAAUAGUGUGGUGUGCUCAUUUUGGAUAAUUUACCAUCGCCGUCUUCAAACAGUGAAAAGCACAUCGGGGCAUAACCUCACUGAAAAAUCCGGUAAUUGUGGAGAGGAAUUCGUGAUAACAUAGACACAACCAAGAACGACUCUAAACUUGAAGAUUGGAAAGUAAUUGUUACUGGCUUAAAGCUAUCUUCGAAACCGAAAUACUACACUUUUCGCUGUUCUUCAAUUUCGUUGUUGGCACAAGAUUAGGAACUUAGGAAGCGCAUUAUAAUUGAGGUACAGGUCAUCGACAUGGAACAGCAAGAGACAUACCAGGUUCAUUUUAUUUAACAAUCUUCCCCUUUUCUUGGCAAUACUCUCAAAAAAUCUCUGGGAACACUUUUAUAUCAGCGGCAUUUCAUGCUAAUUAACACUUAGGCCUAAGCCGUUAUUAAACUUUGCCUCUUUUAGACAACUUAUGUUGUCUCAUUACGAAUUUUAAUGUAACAAUUUUGAACAUAAUAAAACACCUCGAACUUCUGCUCAAAUCAUCGGUGUCAAAGGUUUAGCCCGAGCUUGCUCGUUACAUAGGAAUAUUAUUUCAUUCAAUAAAUCAAUUUAGCAUUAGGAGAGAAGAAUAUAUGUACUCAACUUGACUCCAUCAUUAAGUUUAGAUCUAAAUUCAAGUUGUCACGUAUUUGGAAUUCUGUUCGUUUCAAAAUUGGACCAAUUUCGGAAGAGUUUGAAUGCAAUGUACUGAACUGUUUUUUAAACUCAAAGGGAGAACGCACUAAUCUAGUAAGAUAAUAAUAUUUAAUUUAAACAAAACAUUAGAUUUUGUUUAUGAUCAAUUAAAUGUAUAUGCAAAAAAUUAGGAAUAUAUGACA